rnacentral:tRNA from 1 species
GCGCCGGUGGUGUAAAGGCGUAGAGCAUUCCCGCUCGAUCAGAGGGAGGUGCGGGUUCAAAUCCUGCUUGGCGCU